GGACCAGGUGUUACGGCACU
rnacentral:siRNA from 1 species